rnacentral:rRNA from 1 species
UACAGAGGGUGCGAGCGUUAAUCGGAAUUACUGGGCGUAAAGCGCACGCAGGUGGCUGAGUCAGUCGAUUGUGAAAGCCCUGGGCUUAACCUGGGAAUUGCAGUCGAUACUACUCAGCUAGAGUAUGGGAGAGGGUAGUGGAAUUCCCGGUGUAGCGGUGAAAUGCGUAGAUAUCGGGAGGAACAUCAGUGGCGAAGGCGGCUACCUGGCCCAAUACUGACACUCAGGUGCGAAAGCGUGGGGAGCAAACAGG